rnacentral:misc_RNA from 1 species
UUUCCGUAGGUGAACCUGCGGAAGGAUCAUUAAUGAGUUGUCAUGGGGUUCGAUGCUGGCAGCCAGUUUUUGGAUGCAUGUGCUUGCCCUAACAAUCAUCUUCUUCCAAACACCUGUGCACAUUUUUGAGGGAGUCUUGAGUUGGUUGCCGCUCUUGGGUGAUUUUCUCACAUUCCCUUAAAUCAUUAUACGCUAUUAACAAUGUUGAACGUGCUCUGUGCCGCAAGGCCAUUAAUAUAAUACAACUUUUAACAACGGAUCUCUUGGCUCUG